UGGCGCGGGAAUUGCCGUCCCUAACAAAGUAAAUUUCGUUAUUUUAAUUGAUAUAGUAAUUAUAAAAAGAAAAAAAUCAGUGUUAAAAAACGGUUAUUCAAAGCGAAACAGAAUGUGUGAUUCGGAAGAGGACCUGAGUUCCAUGUCUACUGUCCCUUACGAGUAUGACGCUUCGGACUGUUCGGACAGCAUAUACGAUAAGGAAACCCAGGCCAUUGGAGAAAUUGGCAAUGGGGAAAACAAAGCAGGUUUUGAGAAACACAUUGAAUGUACCUUGAAUGCCGGUAAUGUGCUUUAUGAUGGUCCAACCCAACCACUGAAAUUCAUCAACACAGCUGUAAUAUGCAAAUCCCCAUCAGCUGUGGCUCAAACUUCGUUAUUAGAAACAAAACAGAUACCUACAGAAGACUUUGAUUCUGAUUGUGACACAAUACCAGAAUCUCCAGUUCUGUGCCAGGAUUCCCUCUGUGAUGAAGUUGACUUCCAGCAAACAAAAACACCAUCUAUCAGAUCCACAAUGAUAUUGGUUGAUGACGACAAAACCCAGCCACUUCCUCCACUACAUCCUCCAGAUAUUGGUAUAUUAAACCAAGAUUGUACUAGCCCAGAAAUUGCUUUAUACGAUGGCCCCACACAAAGGCUCGUCAUUACCAAUCCAGACACACUUAGCUGUUCCCGUGAAGAAACCUGCACAUCACCAUCACCAACUAGCCAAAAUACAUCUUUAUCAGAUUUAGAAACUCUCCCCAUUUCUCCAGUACACUACAAUACAAAAAUGGGCUCACCAGGCUGUUACAAGAAAAGUAGUUCCGCGGGAGAGUCUGCAAGAGCUGUAACCCCCUUGUAUGACGGCCCAACACAACCACUAGGCGUUCGUUCAAAUACCGAACCGCUUUCUGUUGGAAAAAGGAAUUUUGGUUUAUCGGCAGAAUCCAAUUGUGAUAUGCUAUCACGGGUGAUGAGAACUAGUACUUCAAGUGAUAUGGAAAUUGAAGAUGACAACGAGGAUCGAACCCAGGUCAAUCCUAAUUUAAUGCAUUUUUCUGAUAGAGUAGCUUCUUCGGGUUCAACCCUUAUGCUAGAGAAAAAAGAUGAGGAUUCUGAUUGCGAAACCUUACCAUCUUCUCCUGUUCACCCGCUGAGUUCCAUCCAGGAAGUACCCUCCACCCAAAGUAUGGAAGAUAGAAACCCUCUUCAGAGGACAGAAGCUUGGAGUGCUUUGAAAAAAGUUGACAACUGGGAUUUCGAAGCUGAUGAUUCAUGUCCUUUAUCUCCGGAUCUCUUUGUUGUUUCUUCACCUUGUCCUGAACCAAGCCAAAAUUUAACUACCGAAUCCGAAAAGAAGCAAGACGCCAAUGAUUCAGUAAAUGAUCCUACCCUAGAAAUGGAUCGCGUCACUAUACCAGUUGUAUCGCCCGUCUUUGAUUUCCAUGGUUCAGAUAACGAAGAAUCAGAUGAAGAAACACAAGCUAUUUCUCCAGCUUUCCACUUCCAAGGAUCGCCAGCCUUUGUGGCCGAAACCCCCUUCGUUCCCGUUACAUCCGUGGCCUCUAAAGAAAUACCUUUCGUGGCCGAAACGCCCUUUGUGGUCGAAUCACUAUCAGGUGAUGAAGAAACUCCUCGGAAAAAGAGGAAAAUUAUCCGUCGGUCUGGUCAAGCUUGCCGCAAACUGCUACCUGAAGUCAAUUCCUCUAUAAAUAACCGAACAUCAACCCCACACGAUAUGGAUCUCGAUAACAGUGAAGAAGAGCGCCGAGCAAGGGAAGAUGCUGUAUCAAUCGAAAGCGAUUUCGAACUCACUUUUGCUUCUCAUUAUUCUGCAUUGCCCACGCCUACAGCGUUUGCACCAACAGCAGAUCCACCUUUUGUUGGGUUUGAAGCUACUGAAGUAGAAGAACCAACAAUUCAUUUAGAGAAAAUUCGGCAAGUAAUAGUCAGCAAUCAAGUAGAUGCUUUGGAAGAGGCCAAGGCAUCCCAGGAUAUGGCAGCUCCAUUAGCGCCAUCUGCUGAACUGAUCGAUGUAAAAUUACCAACUCCUAGACGAUCAUCUCGCAAACCCGUGCCCAAGAGGCGAAACACAUUAGAUUUUAUAGAACCGGAUCGAGUGGAACCUGUCGCGCCCAAACGGCGUACGGUUCAACUAUCUAAAACAGCGGUCAAAGUAGAGGUCAUGUCUUCCGAUGAGACGGACGCAUCUGAGCCGACGAUUAAACGUCGUCCAGGACGGCCACGGAGAAAAAUCAAGGUGGAGCCACCUGACCAACCGGAUGAUGUAGAGUCUGUUGCAGCUAAAAAACGUUCUUCUAGCCGACCGGCUCGGCCGGUGAAACUUGAAGUCGAAUCAAUGGAUGAACCAAAAUCCGUUGCCAGGCUAGCGCCAGUCUCGCUUGCCUUAUCCGAUGCAGCUGAAUCAGGUGGGGAAAGCGCAAUAGCGAGCAAUCGAACAACGCGGAAUACUCGCGGUGGACGAAAGAAAGGCAAUACAGCCACAGUUACUGGGCCAGCAAAAGCGACCACACCGGUGACGACUAGGAAAACAAGAAACCAAAUCAAACAAGAACCGAUGAACGAGUCGGUUAGCGAAAGUGCCUUGAAUAAAACAACAUCACAACGUCGAAGUAAACGUGGCGUUAACAACAACACAGACACGUCCUCUAUCGCAUCUAGUUCGCCAUCCAUCCCGGAGGCCACACGCAGGCGGAAAAGACCUCUGGCUGGCCAGGUUCGAGUCUUAUUCACGGUCAUUAACGAUGAUGGCGAACAUGGCAAAAUUGUGGAAAGCCUCGGAGGACGAGUUGUUACGACAUUUAAAGACUGUUCUGUCUUGGUAACGGACCGUAUUCGCCGAACUCUGAAAUUUCUUUGUUGCGUCGGCCUGGGCACCCCGAUAGUCGGUGUGGAAUGGUUAACUAAAUGCCGUUCCAGCAGAAAGUUUGUAGAUCCAUGGUUGCAUUUGCUCUUAGACAAAGCGGGCGAGGAAAAGUUUAAUUUCAAACUUUCUGAAAGUCUCGAAGUUGCGAAAGAGACUCCGCUUUUGUCCGGGUGGAUUUUUCACGCAACGCCAUCCGUCGUACCGAAACCGGUUGAAAUGCAAGAAAUCGUUGAAUCGUGCGGCGGAAUUUACUUUGAAGAAAGCGAUAAUUCAGUGGACGACAAUAAGAUCGUCAUCAGCUGCGAAGCGGACAGGAAGACUUGGCCGUCAUGGAAGAAAAAAUGUGCCACGCUGGUCGACAAAGAGGCUAUCCUUAGCGGUGUCUUAAAGCAAGUGUUUGAGCCGGACAAAUUCAAAUUGGACGCAUAGGGUGGUCAAAUAUCAACAUUUUCUCAUGAAAUGGACACUUUCUCCUGCCUCAUCCUUUCCUAGAUUGCUUUUCUCUUCAGUUGAUAAUGAAAAAAGGCGAAAACACAAAGGGAGAGAGUGGGGCAGGGAAGAAGCCGACUGUUAGAAAAAGCUAAUCGCUUUCGGACUUGUUCACUGAGGUGACUGCGGACGAAUCUUAGCAUGCGUUCCCAACACAAACGUGUGCUAGUGAUACACCGAAAACAAGGCGAAACAUUUCUUGCGUCAAUCCUUUGUUAACAGGAUCGUAUUGGGUAGAGACAGGCGAAGAUUGCGAUCGUGACAUGAAGACCUACCGAGCGGCUUUACGUCAGAAAGCGGAAGGUGGGAGCGGGGGGGGGGGGAUCAGUUUGCUGUUGGGUAGGUGCUAUAUACCGGUACGGGUGUAGCCUACCAUAUACUCUAGUAUGCUGCCUCACAAGCUUACCGAAUGUUUUAUAACCAGUGACGUUGAUAGUGUCUACCCACCCACUGUCUUUCCUCUUCAUUGGGAUAGACAAAAGUAGCAUGGGGAGCCAGGACGGUCCUGUGUAGUGGAUCAUUUCCAAGUGUGGGUCGUCAAGUUGCCAUGGCAACCAUGAUCUCCCCUUCUUUUUCCUUUAUGCGUGUAUACCUAGUGUGGACAUGAAGGAGCACAGUCACUUUCGACCCGGAUGGCCGCAGCCCCAUCAGAGACCAAGGCGAGUUUUGGGGGGAUGUAUUUAUUAUUCCCGACACGCAACCUUCGGUCACUUCAUUGAACAUGCUCAAGUCGUUAUUGAUAUUUGUCGACGCUCUUAUUUCUUAUUUAAUACCGACGUUGUUUAUUAUUCUUUGCGUUUUUUUUUUUUUGCCGUUGUGGUCACUUUUUGUGCGAUCCGCUUUUGUCCGGAUCGAAGCCUUGGCAUUUCACACACGUCAUUUUA